rnacentral:misc_RNA from 1 species
AACUUGAUAAUUCCAAACUCUACUGAUAAGGGGGCACUCUUCUCUCCAGAAUAUAUUAUAUCGCCAUGAACGGCCUUCUGAUUCUCUCCUGUCUUGUCGGCUCCAUUGCCGCCCAGUUGUCGGUACCUUCAACAUGCCAGAAAAUGUGUACCGCCCAGUACUCGCCGGUCUGUGGAAGCAACCACAUUACCUACUGUACGUAUAUGAUCCCCCGAUUGUGAUAAAACAAUGCCUCUAGGAAAGUCAUUUCAGACCACGGCGUCUCGAAUCCUUAUGUCUUUAUUUAAAAGUUUGAUACAUCGAUUCUUACGACAAGAAUAUAUAAUCAACUACAUGUACAUUUCCUAAUGUACGUAUAGAAUCAUAAUCCUGUUGAAUCUCGUAAUGUGUUUGAAUGAACAAAAUAAUCAAGCUAACCGGCUGAUUGUUUUAAGAGAUUUUUUAAGCGACCCCUUCCAAGUCUUUAAUUGGAACCUAUUUAAAAUGAAAGUAACCGUACCAUUUCACAGCAGGCACAAUUUAAUGACGACAGUAUGACGUUAGUUGAAUGUCGAACAAGUUGCAAGUAGCCAUUAUUAUGCAAUUCAUGAGAAAAUAUUGAAUGUUUGUACACGUCAUAAUGAUAUUCCAUAAAAUCACAUUCAUAUUGUUCAUCAUGCGGAGAAAAUUCUCUUUAACAAACUUGUAAAAGAUGUCUGCUAAAUGUUCAAGUGACUUUUGUGAUUUGAAGUCUUGAAUACGUUCAUGAAGCUGGCAUUCUUUUACAAUUCAGUGUUAUUGAUAUGACAGGUACACUGUAUAUUUGUCCCAAUAACGAUUCAUUAAUUAAACGUCAUUUCCUUUCUGAUAAAUGCAUGACGUAGGCUUUGGAAUCUCACAUUUUCGUCAAUUAUUUGAUGUUUUAACGUUUUUACCAAUUUACAUGGACGUACUUACGCGUUGGUUUAUUAAAUGAUGUUGUAUAACAGUUUCAUAACAAAUACCACAUAAAACGACGUUGUGUUUAGUUGCUUUUUGGUAAAUUAUGAUUUCACUUCCGUCCGGGAUCAUAUUGAUGACAACUGAACUAACAUAUCGUAUACUACGUUGUAUUAUCUUAGAAGAUAUUGGCACAUAUGUCCAAAUAAUUAACAUUUAUUAAUCACAGAAAAUGACUACAAAAUUAAUAUUUACCUGUGCAAUUAACGAUAUUUACUUAUUCAAUUUAUUAUCUAGCACAGACUUUAGGAUUUCUUCGCAAGCUUAUGAUAAAUCAAUCGUUUUAAAAUAUUAAUUAUUAUUACUACACAGCUAACAUAUGCAAGCUACAGAUCGCGCAAUGUGAGUACAAACUGCACCACCGCUUCCUUGGAUUGUCCCACACAGGAACCUGCUCCUCUUCCGGUGGCACCGUGUCGGUACCGGACCACUACGACUGCAGGAAUCCGGAACCUUGUGACGAGGAAGAGACGACCGGAGAGGUCUGCGGAUCUGACGGAGUGACUUACAAGAGCCAAUGUUUGUUGGAGCAGGCGGCCUGUGGUUUAGCUUCCGCCGGUGAUCACAUGACCAAAUCUCACAAUGGCGCUUGCACCGCAAUGGAAACCAGCCACGAAUGUCCCACCAAAUGUGACACCACUGUGGAUCCAGUGUGUAGCAACGCCAACGUCACAUACAGUUUGUGUCCACUUCAGUCAAUGCAAUACUCGAUAAAGAGAAACAUACUUUAAUUUUUAACGAAGAAUUAUUUUGAUACUAAUUCAGACCUUUCACACUUUAUCUUCCUAGAGAACCCAUGUAUCUUGAAGCAGACUUACUGUCGAUUUUUGAAAUACAAUAACCCCACAUACUUAGAGAGGUACGAAGUUAAUCACGCAGGAACCUGUGAUGGAUCGGACCCAACCAAGACCGUUGCAGUUGAUUGCAACCAGUACAAGCCCCACCUUGGAUCUGUCGCCAUUGAGGGCUCCACCAGCACCUACUCUUGUCCCCACAUUGACUCGCACACCAGGUCCGACUACGUGUGUGGAUCUGACGGACACACCUAUUACUCUGAGUGCUACUACUGCCAACACUUGGCGCGUGUGAGCAAAAAUGGUAGCUAGAUUUUUAUCUACGUCUUUUGGUACAAUUUUCAUUUGUAUAUAUGUAUGCAUUUAAUGCGCACCACGCAUCUUAUAUGUUUAAUUUGAUUUUUAAAAUGCUGAAAAUGAGAACCCCAUGUUAUGGGUGGUUUAGUUAUUUUCUUUUCACUUUGAAAUACGGUUGGGCGAUGAGUAAAUUCAGUUGAAAUUUCAAAUAUAGUUCAAUAUACAUGUCUUUUCUUAAUCUACAGGCGACACCUCAGGAGCGUCCAUUCUUAUGCAGGGAGUCUGUCCUCGUUACCUUACUCAGCACGUUAUCGGAUAAAGUUAUUAUAUCUAUUGUAUAUGAAUUAAACCGACAACUUUUC